rnacentral:ncRNA from 1 species
UAAUAUAGAUACUCCGAAGUUUAAGAUUUCUAAGGUGCUUGCUAUGAACUUAAACCCGUAGGGUAUAAUCGGAAACGGUUAUGUCUCCCAUUGUGGAAAAGGGGCUUGACAGAAUAAU